UCUACCAGCCAUGCCCACAUUGAACAAAGCCGGAUCCCCAUCUGAUCUCGGAAGCUAAGCAGGGUCGGGUCUGGUUAGUUCCUGGAUGGGAGAAACACCUAGGAAGACUAGGUGCUGCAGGC
rnacentral:rRNA from 1 species